CAUGGACUUGGACGCGCGCGGGGUGUUCGCGGGGCGCACCUGGGGCCGCCAGCUCCGGCUCGUGGCCGCCGCCUCCUGGCUGCCCAACGCGGCCCUGGCGCUGGCGCUGAGCUCCGAGGUGCUACUGUUCCCCGCGCCGCCCGCUCACCACUGCCGGCCCGACCCGGCGCUGCUGCCCCCGGAGCUGCGCUCCCUGGCCGGCCCGGCGCUGCUCAACGCCAGCCUCCCGCGCCUGCCGCCGCCCGCCCGAGACUGGAGCCCCUGCCUGCUGCUCCGCUACCCGGGCCCGGGCCCCGAGCCCAAUGGCACCCGCCCCUGCACCCGCGGCUGGGACUUCGCGCGGCCCGCCGCCGGCCUGCUGCGCACCCCCAUCACCCAGUGGAAUCUUGUAUGUGGGGAUCGAUGGAAGGUGCCCCUGGAGCACAUGAGUUACUUUCUGGGCUGGUUACUGGGCUGUAUGACCCUUGGUUCAGCCUGUGACCGGUUUGGCCGCCAAGCCACCUUUGUGACCUCCCUGGCUCUGGCCACGGUGCUGGGAAGUGGGGUGGCCCUGGCAAUCAGCUACCCCAUGUUGCUGUCCCUGAGGCUGCUCUAUGGGGCCACCCUGGCUGGUGCCUUCCUCUCCCUUUACGUGGCCCGGCUGGAGCUUUGUGACCCCGAGCAUCGCCUCCUGUUCUCCAUGGUGGCUGGCCUCUUCUUUGACGCUGGGACUAUCCUGCUGCCAGGGCUGGCGGCAGUAUGUCAAGACUGGAGGCUCCUGCAAGGUCUGGUGACCCUCAUCCUGGGCUUGGUGCUGUUCUUCUGGGGAUUUCUUUCCAUGUUCCCAGAGUCUCCCCGAUGGCUGGUGGCCACUCAGCAGCCGGGCAGAGCCAAGGAGAUUCUGUGGCAAUUGGCAGGGGCCAACCUCAAGUGUGAGGACUCCACCUCCGAGAGUGCGACUCUGGCUGCAGAGUUAGACGGGCUGUCUGAGGGGGAGGCCUUGCCCCAGUACCACUCCAUCUUGGAGGUCUUCAGCACUCAGCUCGUCUGGAGAAACAUCCUCAUUCUGGCCUUUACCACGUUGCUGGGGAAUGGCAUCCGGUAUGACUUCACUCAGAACCUGGCCCCCUCUCUGCCCCACUUCUACCUGCCCUGCUUCUUGCUGGCUGGGCUGGAGGCAGCCGCCAGCUUCCUGCUGAUCCUGAUGGCCCUGUGCUGCGGCCGCCGGGCUAGCCUGCUCCUAUGGACCGUCCUCACCAGCUUGGCCUCCCUGCUCCUUCUCUCCCUAGCCCAGUACCUGCCAGUCUGGAUGGUGGUGUUUCUCUCUGGACUGGGGCUCCUGGCCUCCCAGGCCAUGUCUGUGCUGAGCGUCUUCUUUGCCAGUGAGAUCCUCCCCACCACAAUCAGAGGAGCGGGGCUGGGCCUCAUCAUGGCAGCUGGUUUCCUGGGCCAAGUGGCCACACCCAUCAUGAGCAUGUCCAACACUCGAAGUUUCUUUCUCCACCACGUGGUGUUUGCCUCUUUUGCUGUCCUUUCCAUGCUCUGCAUCCUGUUACUACCUGAGAGCCAGGCCCGGAACCUCCCCGAGUCCCUGGAGGAUGCUGAGAGCCGGUGGUCCUCCCCGCUCUUCAUGCCCCACUGGCGCCACCCCCAGGACCAACACGUCCCACUGCUCCUGCCCUCCUGUAAGCAGACCCACUAUGGACAGCAGCAAAGCUCCUGCCUGGCGGUCCCCUCCCAAAGGACUGGUGGCCAAUGGCAUCCACCUGCCGGGGCUCACCUAGCUAGGGAGUUCCAGGUCACACAGGAGUCAAGGUAUGCUGGAACUAUGGGAGGCCACCUGCAGUAACUGCCUUUAUCGAUGCCGAUAUUGUAGCCCUGGGAAGGAAGGGCUUGGAAGACAGAACGGUGCCUUGUUACUGUUGCCCUUAUGAUUGCGGAGCGUGAUGAGUCUGGGGUAUCGCUCGUGGGCCCUGCCUGUCCUCCUCAUCACCAGUUCACCUGUUUUCUGGAAGGGCUCUGCUGGGCAGUCCCCUGGAAACUGCAAAGCUCCCCAGGGUAGGACAGAGACCCCCCAAUUUACCUGGGACUCAAAUUCCGGACAAAUUAAGCUUCCUCUAGGUAAGAGGCUGCUCUGGCCACCCUCCAGUCAUGCUGGGAAUUGCUUCUGAAGCCCUCAGCCUCAUGGAAUAGUUUUCUUUCUGGGGCAGAAUUCCUAACCUCCUGACUGGGUUCGAGGUGGCCCUGGCUUCUCUUUCCCCUCCAUACUCAAAAGCACCAUGAGAACCACUUUGUCGUCUCUGUGCUUUUCCCUGGAAGGACCCUCUGCAUCCUCUUUUCUCAGCUUCUGUCUAGGUCUUCCGGGACCCCAUUCCUUCCUCCUCUUCUUCCAGUGGUGUUUCAGAGGGCGGUCAAUGAGCAUGAACUUGGCUUCUGGUGCCCAGAAAGACCCCUGCAGUCUUGUUCCAGAAGAUCCAGGGCCUUAUAUAGAAAUGUCUCUAAGGCUGUGUCCAGUCACUGCUUAAGAAGAAAGGGGGUUUUUCCUGUCCAUCGCCUUGGGUGUAGCUGAGAAUGGCAAUCAGAAUGAGUGGGAGAUAAUAGGAGAGGCUGUCUCCCCCGAAAGGAGGUCUGAGGCACCAGUUCUGCAGGAUGACGAAGCUGGUUGAUGUCAUAGGCAUCCU